AUUCAAAUCCUUUAACGAGGAUCUAGCGGAGGGCAAGUCUGGUGCCAGCAGCCGCGGUAAUUCCAGCUCCGCAGGUGUAUAUCUAUGCUGCUGCGGUUAAAAAGCUCGUAGUUGGAUCUGCGUGCUCGGAACUGGUUGGCUCACUGAGUUCAAACUGGUCUCCGGCGCUUUAUUGGCUGGUUUUCCCUUGAUGCUCUUAACCGGGUGUCUUGGGUGGCUAGCACGUUUACUUUGAAAAAAUUAGAGUGCUCAAUACAGGCGUAAAGCCUUGAAUAGUGGUGCAUGGAAUAAUAGAAUAGGACCUCGGCUCUAUUUUGUUGGUUUUCGGAACGCGAGGUAAUGAUUAAGAGGGACAGACGGGGGCAUUCGUAUUGCGACGUUAGAGGUGAAAUUCUUGGAUCGUCGCAAGACGGACGACUGCGAAAGCAUUUGCCAAGAAUGUUUUCAUUAAUCAAGAACGAAAGUUAGAGGUUCGAAGGCGAUCAGAUACCGCCCUAGUUCUAACCGUAAACGAUGCCAACUAGCGAUUCGCAGGCGUUAAACAACGACCUUGCGGGCAGCUUCCCGGAAACGAAAGUGUUCGGGUUCCGGGGGAAGUAUGGUUGCAAAGCUGAAACUUAAAGGAAUUGACGGAAGGGCACCACCAGGAGUGGAGCCUGCGGCUUAAUUUGACCCAACACGGGAAAACUCACCCGGCCCGGACACCGUAAGGAUUGACAGAUUGAGAGCUCUUUCUUGAUUCGGUGGGUGGUGGUGCAUGGCCGUUCUUAGUUGGUGGAGCGAUUUGUCUGGUUUAUUCCGAUAACGAACGAGACUCUGGCCUACUAAAUAGUGGGCGGAUUCUUUCUGUCCGCAACACUUCUUAGAGGGACAAGCGGUGUUCAGCCGCACGAGAUUGAGCAAUAACAGGUCUGUGAUGCCCUUAGAUGUCCGGGGCUGCACGCGCGCUACACUGAAGGAAUCAGCGUGCUUUCUGACCUUGCCCGAAAGGGCUGGGUAACCCGAUGAAAAUCCUUCGUGAUUGGGAUAGGGACUUGCAAUUAUUUCCCUUGAACGAGGAAUUCCCAGUAAGUGUGGGUCAUAAGCUCGCGUUGAUUACGUCCCUGCCCUUUGUACACACCGCCCGUCGCUGCCCGGAACUGAGCCGUUUCGAGAAGAACAGGGACCGUCGUUGAAGGGCCUUAACGGGCUUUUCUCUGAUAGAAACUGUU
rnacentral:rRNA from 1 species